UUUCCAACAGGUAGAGGCCCUGGAACACUAGCAAAUGCGGAAGGAGGACACAUUGUGGCUACGUGUUGAUAUACUGGUAAGUUGAUGUGCACUCUAGAGUCCAGACCUUCCCUAACUCAUGACUCUAUUUCCCAAGACUAAGGACAGAUUAAUCGUGCACACAAUCGGAUCAAAACAAAUUCUAGACCUUGUAAAAGUAAUUAAAAGCGUGUUGGCGGUAGUUAACACAUCAUUUUCGAC
rnacentral:lncRNA from 1 species